UAGAUUUGUGGUAAAGCUUUUGCUCAAGCGAGGUGAUAUAGGUACUAGCGCUAGUGCUCCGACUACGGAUCAGCAGGGAGGAGCGUGACGCGGAUGGCCUGGACUUGUGGUGAUUUGUUGUUUAUUUUGUGUGGUCUUUGAUUAGUCUUAGGCUUAAUGGUAUAUUGGGAUAUAUACGAAAUGUGUGGGAUGAAUGAUGAUUUUGGAUGGUUAGGCUUGAUGCCUGGGUAUGUAUGUGUGUAUGAUGAAUUAUGUUUGAGAUGAUAUGGCCGGAGGCCCUGGAUAUUUAGUUUGGUGUUAUGGGAA